rnacentral:rRNA from 1 species
GUGACCUCAAAUCAGGUAGGACUACCCGCUGAACUUAAGCAUAUCAAUAAGCGGAGGAAAAGAAACUAACAAGGAUUCCCCUAGUAACUGCGAGUGAAGCGGGAAAAGCUCAAAUUUAAAAUCUGUCAGUCUUUGGCUGUCCGAGUUGUAAUCUAGAGAAGUGUUAUCCGCGCUGGACCGUGUACAAGUCUCCUGGAAUGGAGCGUCAUAGAGGGUGAGAAUCCCGUCUUUGACACGGACUGCCAGGGCUUUGUGAUGCGCUCUCAAAGAGUCGAGUUGUUUGGGAAUGCAGCUCAAAAUGGGUGGUAAAUUCCAUCUAAAGCUAAAUAUUGGCGAGAGACCGAUAGCGAACAAGUACCGUGAGGGAAAGAUGAAAAGAACUUUGGAAAGAGAGUUAAACAGUACGUGAAAUUGCUGAAAGGGAAACGCUUGAAGUCAGUCGCGUUGGCCAGGGAUCAACCUUGCUUUUGCUUGGUGUACUUUCUGGUUGACGGGUCAGCAUCAAUUUUGACUGUUGGAAAAAAAUUAAGGGAAUGUGGCAUCUUUGGAUGUGUUAUAGCCCUUGGUUGCAUACAAUGGUUGGGAUUGAGGAACUCAGCAUCGCCGCAA